CUGAGCACCCCCAGGGCAUGGCAAGGGGGUCCUGGAGCCCCCUGGCCCCCCAGUUUAGCCCCCACCCCACUCACCCCCCGGCUCCGGAGCUUCCUGUGCGCCGCCAUCCGCUCCUUGAAAUGCCUCCAGUACAGCACCUCCAGGAAUCACUCACAGGCUGCAGAAAACCAUCUGGUGAAAUCCUGGAGCUUCCUCGGGCCCCUCCUCUUCCUCUUGCCUCCAAUCACAUCAUCCAGGCCGUGUGGCACCUGGAAGGGCCUCCCUGCAGCGCCCUGGAUGGCCGCGGGGACCCCAGGACAGCGCUGGCAGGUGCCACCCCUCACCUGCCUCCUCGCAGAAGCUCAGUGCCCGCGCCAGGGCCGUGCCAGAGCUGGGGCGCUGCGCGGGGCUGGGCGCCGGAGCCGCUGCGGGGACAGCCACGGGCUGCUGGUCCCCCCUCAUGUUCACGCUGGCCGGGCUGGUUUCUGGGAUGUCAUCCAGGGACAGGAACUGCAGGAGAGCCCCCAGUGUGAGCCCAGCUGGCAGGGACACCGAGGGACCCCCGAGCAGGGCAGGGAGCACAGAGCCCUCCUCACCUCCUCCUCCCUGGCCGUGAAGGUGGCGUCGGCGUCGCGGCCGUCGGGGCCCAGGGAAGAGGGCAGCUUCUCCUUCCUAGGGAAAAACGGGCUCAGGAUCCCUGGGAGGGGGGCAAAGGGUCCCUCCAGCCCUGCUGCGGCCCCCCCAGAACAGAAUUCCUGCUGUUCCCUGGGGCUGCCAACACCUAAAAGGGAUCAAAUUUUGGAACAACAAAAUCCCUUCAUCCCCACCAAGGACUGGAAGCCAAGGGGGGGUUCUGGGGUGACCCCAGGG